UCCCUCCCCCCUCCCUUCCUCCUUCCCCAUCCCUCCCUCCCUUCCUCCCUCCCACUCCCUCUCUCCCUCCCUCCCUUCCUCCCUCCUUCCCUUCCUUCCUUCCUUCUGUUGAGUUGUUUGAGUUUCUUAUAUGUUCAGCUGUUAAUCCUUUGUUAGAUGUGUCAGAUGUGUCACUUGCUAAUUUUUCUCCUGUUCUGUAGUUAUCUCUUUACUGUUUCCUUUGUUGUGUGGAAGCUCUUUAGUUUGACAUAAUCAUGUUUGUCUAUGCCUUUGCUAUAUUUUUUAGACUUGAUCCAGAAAUUCCUUACCCAUUCCAGUGUUCUGAAGUAUCUCCUGUUUUCUUGUACUAGUUUUAAAGUUUCAGGCUUUACAUUUAGGUCUGUGACCCCUUUUCAGUUGAUUCUUGUGCAUUGUGAGAGAUAUGGGUCUAGUUUCGUUCUAUUAGUGUGAUACCCAGUUUCCCCAGCACCAUGUAUUUAAAAGACUGUUCUUUUUCCAGUGCAUGUUCUUCACACCUUUAUCAAAAAAUCAGUUGACAUUAGAUAUGUAGGUUUACACAAACGGUCUCUGUUCUAGUCCAUUGCUCCAUAUGUCUAUUAUAAAAAUACUACAUUGUGGCCGGCACCGCGGCUCACUAGGCUAAUCCUCCGCCUAGCGGCGCCGGCACACCGGGUUCUAGUCCCAGUCGGGGCGCCGGAUUCUGUCCCAGUUGCCCCUCUUCCAGGCCAGCUCUCUGCCGUGGCCAGGGAGUGCAGUGGAGGAUGGCCCAAGUGCUUGGGCCCUGCACCCCAUGGGAGACCAGGAAAAGCACCUGGCUCCUGGCUCCUGCCAUCGGAUCAGCGCGGUGCGCCGCUGCAGCGCGCCAGCCGCGGCGGCCAUUGGAGGGUGAACCAACAGCAAAGGAAGACCUUUCUCUCUGUCUCUCUCACUGUCCACUCUGCCUGUCAAAAAAAAAAAAAUACUACAUUGUUUGAAGUAUCAUAGCCUUAUAGUUUUUCUAAACUUUUAUUUUCAUUUCUGUUUGAAAGGGAGAGAGAUCUUGCAUUUGUGGGUUUACUCCCCAAAUGCCUGCAACAGCAGGGUCUGGCCAGGCCAAAGCCAUUAGCCAGGAACUCAUUCCAGGUCUCCCAUAUGGGAGCCAUCACUUGUUGUCUCCCAGGUGCACAUUAGUAGGAAGCUGGAUUGGAAGCAGAGCAGCUGAGACUUGGCUCGGGCACUCUGACGUGGGACGCAAGUGUCCAAGGCAGCGUCUGAAGCACUGCACCAGAUGCCCACCCUGAACUAUAUUUUAAAUCAAACAGUGCGAUUGUUCCCGCUCUGUUCUUCUUGUUCAACAUGCCUUUGGCUAUUUGGGAUAUCUUUUAGUGCUGCCCAAUUUUCAGUGCUGUUUGACAGAGAUAGCUCUGAACCUGUAAAUUGCUUUCAGUAUUAAGGAUGUCCACUCUCCCCUCUUGUAUUCAACGUGGUACUUGGAGUUUUAUCUAGAGCAAUUCUGGAAGAGAAAUAAUGGGCACCCAAAUGGGAAGAAAGAAGUCAAAUAGUAACUUUUUGCACAUGACAUAAUCUUAUAUAUAGAAAAUUCCGAAGAUACCACCAAAAUAUUGUUAGAACUAAUAAAUGAAUUCAGCAAAGUUGCAAGAUACAAAGUUGGUGUGCAACAAUCAAUAAUAUUGCUAUAUACCAGUAGCAAAUUAUCUGAAAAAAAUCAAGGAAGCAAUCCCAUUUCCAGUAGUUACAAAAUAUUGAGUAAAUAAAUAACUAAAUAAAUAACAUAUGAGUAAGUCUAGCCGCAGCAAUCAACUGUUUCUACACUGGAAAUUAUAAAAUUUUGAUGAAAGAAAUCAAAGAGGAUACAGAGAAAGGGAAAGACAGCCACUGUUGGAGGACUGUUUAAUGCUCACUCUGCUAGAUACUUGUUUAGCAUCUUUAUGAAUGAAGAGCAGGAUCCACAUGCCUCUGCACCCAGGUCCCACUGUGCAGCUAAAGCAGCCACGGAGCCGCGUCAGUGCUCUGUUGCUGGAUGGUCUCAGCUCAUCACCUGUAAACUCAGCACCCACAGGCUCCAGGGUGUGCAUACUGUUCCUCCAGGCUCCUCCUCACACUGCGACAAGAGCGUCAUUAGCCCAUUUCCAGCAGCAACUGCCUGAGCGCCCUGGUCAUGACCACUCAUCUGUCCAGGCUCCAGCUUUGUUCCCAAUCUCUGCCUGCCUGCCUGAGCACUGGGAAUGCCCUGUUGACCCCAUCUUCCUAGCCUGAUCCUCCAAGCACCCGACAUGUGCCCACUAGUCAUUUUCAAAGUUGCCUCUCCAUUUCUUUUCUUUUUCUUUUUCUUUUUUUGACAGGCGGAGUUAGACAGUGAGAGAGAGAGAGAGAGAGAGAGAGAGAGAGAGAGAGAGAGAAAGGUCUUCCUUUUGCUGUUGGUUCACUCCCCAAAUGGUUCUCCCGGCCGGCGCACUGUGCCUAUCCGAAGCCAGGAACCAGGUGCUUCCUCCUGGUCUCCCAUGUGGGUGCAGGGCCCAAGCACUUGGGCCAUCCUCCACUGCCUUCCAGGUCACAGCAGAGAGCUGGACUGGAAGAGGAGCAGCCGGGACAGAAUCCGGCGCCCCAACCGGGACUAGAAUCCGGGGUGCUGGUGCCACAGGCGGAGGAUUAGCCGAGUGAGCCGCGGUGCCGGCCCGCCUCUCCAUUUCUAGGAGUAGUUAUAGUAGCAAUCCCAUCCUCAGCAGUUUUCUGUAUUACUCAGGUUUUGUCACAAUAACAAAAUGCCUGCGGCAGCCUAAUUUUACAUGGAAAUUGGUACUUUUUGUCUCACAUUCUGGAGGCUCACAGCUCCGGAUCAGGCACCAUUCGUUCACCCUCCAGUGCCAGCAUUCUCUCUGGCAGAGUCUCAGUUACCAGAGAUGGCUGGAACAGAGGCUCUGGUCUGCCCAUGAGAAAAACACUGUAGUCGUGAGCACGAUUGGCAGUAAGCAAGAUCACAGUGUUCAGUGACGAGAACACACCUGGCCAGCCAGGAGGGCAUCGCAACAAAGAACUGACCCGCAGGACAGUCAGAGGUGGGCAUGGGCCCACCAUUCCUCGUCCCCAACCCCCGUUCAUCUGGAACAUUGCAGGGUGGGAGGCUCUCUGGGUGUGGCGCUCAACCCAGUGUCAUUGGGCCAGAUAGCACCCUCAGCCCCAUCCCUGCUCCACCCCAUGCCCAUCUUGUGGUUGGGAAGAUUCCUGUGAAGUGGCCCCAGAGCAGAGCUGGGAUCCCCUACAAGGAUACUGGACACUGGCAAGACUUUUGCUGGCUUCAUGGGUUCUUCCCUCAUGCAAACACAGGAACUUCCUACUUUUCUACAGUCCUCUUCCAUACAGAGGCUAAUGUCUACCUUCCUACCCAGCGGUAUGGUGUGGAGCGUGCAAGUCUGCCUAAAUCUGUCUCCUUAUAAAACCAGCAGGGUCAGCCACGAAGCCUCCACUUGCUGACCUGUUCAGAUCGGGUCACCUCCCAGAGGCCUCACCUCCAAAUGCCAGUCACCCUCCUAAUACCAUCAAUUUGUGACUUUGGAGUUUAAGCUUCUUGUUUUAAAAAAAAAAAUUAUUUGAAAGGAAGAAUUAGCGGGAGAGACAGAUCUUUCACCUGCUGGUUACUCCCAAAAUGGUCUCAAAAGUUGGGGCUGGGCCAGGCUGAAAGCCAGUAGCCUGGAACUCCAGUCAGGGGUCCCACAUGAAUGGAAGAGGCCUACCCACUUGAGCCAUUUUGUGUUGUUUCUCCAGGCAUAUUAGCAGAGAGCUGGACCAGAAGUGGAGCAGCUGGGAUUCAAACCUGUGCUCAUAUUGGAUGCCAGCAUUACAGAUAGCAGCUUACCCUGCUGUGCACAAUACCAGCCCCAAAGUUUAAGCUUCCACAUGAGUUUUGGGGCCAAAUAUUCAAACCAUAGCAUGUAGUUUUCCAGUACAAUCCUAAAGACUAAGCACAAUCAAGUAAGUGGCUAUUCAGAGAUGGACUCGGUCCAAUCAACAGGGUCAAACAAGAGCAAAGGUCAAGACAUCAAGUUUUUUGAAUGCUCAAGGCAUUCUAUUGGUUUCUGGAAGACCACAGAGUGCUAAAGUCAGCUGAUGAGGAAGUGCUCUGAGACCGUCAGCCACAGCUAUAGCAGCAACACACCUGGGAAGACACCCCAGGGAGGUCAGCACAGCCUCAGUACACAGGGAAGACACCCCAGGGAGGUCAGCACAGCCUCAGUACACAGGGAAGACACCCCAGGGAGGACGGCACAGCCUCAGUACACAGGGAAGACACCCCAGGGAGGACGGACAGCCUCAGUACACAGGGAAGACACCCCAGGGAGGACGGACAGCCUCAGUACACAGGGAAGACACCCCAGGGAGGACGGACAGCCUCAGUACACAGGGAGGACACCCCAGGGAGGAUGGCACAGCCUCAGUACACAGGGAAGACACCCCAGGGAGGACGGCACAGCCUCAGUACACAGGGAAGACACCCCAGAGAGGACGGCACAGCCUCAGUACACAGGGAAGACACCCCAGGGAGGACGGACAGCCUCAGUACACAGGGAAGACACCCCAGGGAGGACGGACAGCCUCAGUACACAGGGAAGACACCCCAGGGAGGACGGACAGCCUCAGUACACAGGGAAGACACCCCAGGGAGGACGGCACAGCCUCAGUACACAGGGAAGACACCCCAGAGAGGACGGCACAGCCUCAGUACACCUGGGAAGACACCCCAGGGAGGUCAGCACAGCCUCAGUACACAGGGAAGACACCCCAGGGAGGAUGGACAGCCUCAGUACACAGGGAAGACACCCCAGGGAGGACGGCACAGCCUCAGCACACAGGGAAGACACCCCAGGGAGGACGGCCACACUUUCGUGCCCCCGGAGAGCUCUGCUGCAGCACAUGGUGCUCCCACUCACUCUUCUGUCAGGGGCAGUUUUGUGAGGGUUUCCAUGGAAACCAGGCAUUUGUCUUAUGGUCCUGAUUAUGCUUCUUCAUACUUCUCUUUCCUAUCUUUUUUUUUUAAUCCAUCUUCAGUGGUGACAAAUGUUACAGUUUCACAGGGACUGUUUCUGAUUUUUUUUAAUUAUUUAUUUAUUUGAAAGGCAGAGUCAGAGAGAGAGAGAGAGAGAGAGACACCGACAUCUUCCAUAUGCUGGUUCACUCCCCAAAACUCUGCAGCUGCCAGAGCUGAGCCAAUCUGAAGCCAGGACCCAGGAACUUCUUCCAGGUUUCCCAUGAGGGUGCAAGGGCCCAAGAACUUGGGCCAUCUUCUGCUGCUUUCCCAGGUGCAUUAGCAGGGACCUGCAUUGGAAGUGGAGCAGCCAUAGGCUGUGGCUUUACCCGCUACGCCACAGCUCUGGCCCUCUUUCCUAAUCUUAAAUGUUUAAAGGCCUGCCUUCCUUCUUUCCUCCUUCCCUCCUUCCCUCCCUCCCUCCUUCCUUCCUCUGUCUGUCUGUCUGUCUUUCUGUCUUGUCUUAUUUGAAAGGCAGUGUGACAGAGAAGAGGGAGAGAGAGAGAUCUUCCAUCCUCUGGUUCACUCCCCAAAUAGCUACAACAGCCAGGCCAAAGCUAGGACCCUAGAACUCCAUCUGGGUCUCCCACAUGGGUUGCAGAGGCCCAAGCACUUUGGCCAUCUCCACUGCCUUCCCAGGAGCAUUACCAGGGAGCUGGAUGGGAAACAGCAGCCAGGACUUGAAGUGGUGCUCCAGCAUGGGCGCCACCACAGAGGCCCAAGCACACUUUCUUCAGUUAACAAUGUAAAGCGGCAGGCGUGUGGUGCAGCUGGUAACUCCUGCUUAGGGUACUCACAUCCCAGCUGGGAGUGCCUGCUCCUGAUCCAGCAUCAUGGAAGACAGCACACGCGAUGGACAUGCACUUGGGUCGCUGCCAUCCCAUGGGAGACCCAGGCGGAGUUCCUGGCUCCUGGGUUAGCCUAGCUCAGCCCUGGCUGUUGAGAACAUGUCAGGAGUGAGCCAGCAGGUGGGAGAUCUGUUCCCUGCUAGCCCUCCCCCUGUCACUUUUUCUACCACUCUGCCUUUCAGACAAAUACAUAAAAUCAAUCAUUUAAAGAAAGAAUAAGAGAAGGAACAAGUAACAAGCAUGAGGAAAGCAGACAGUGAUGCAGGUACUAUUGACCAUUCCAGAAAGAUAUUUUGAACACAUUUAUGCCAAAAAAUGUGAACAUGAAGGUAAGGUGGAGAAAUAUGAUUUAUCAAGACUGACAUAUGAACAAGUUAGUGCAUUGUGCUUAAGUGUCGAAGUGCAUGUGGUAAUUUAAUCAUCUUUCCUCAGAGGGAAUGCUAAGCCCAGAUGGCUUCACCAACUUACACCAAACAUUGAAGGAAUAAAUAACACCUAUCCUAAAUAUAUAUAUUUUUUCAAUAAAAGUUGGUUUAUGUAUACAUCUAAUUUUGGAGCCUGAUUCUUCAGCUCAUACAGUAGACUUUUCAUUGGCUUAUAUACUCUUCCAUUAUAUAACUGUUGGCAGAAAGGUAUUCCAUUACAGAAGCAGUCUGUAAUUGUUUUAAACAGUCUUCUGUUUUUCUUGUGUGUAUGUGUGUGUGUGUGUGUUUUUUUUUUUUUUUUUUUUGACAUUUGAGUUCUUUCUUGUUUCCCCCAAUUAAACAGAGCUCUCAAUGGCUGUCAGAGUGGUCAUUUAUUUUAUUUUAUUUAUUUAUUUUUUGUGCCUAUGAACUGUGUACUUGGGAUAAAAUCCCAGCACGUACUUUUGUAGACAGAGUGUGUGGUGUGUUCAUUCUUUUGGUACCUGGUGUCAGUUUUGCCUUUAGAGUCUUGCUGAUGGUGCGUGGUAGUUGUCAUCAGAGCCAUGCAUUGUUUUCUGUUCAGCGUAAAAUCCUUCUCUUUUGUGCCCCUCAUGUCCUCUCCCCAGGCCCCGCCUCUCCCCUGUUAUAAUUCUAAAGCUCUAAUUCUUGAGCUGGAGUCUGCUGGGUCUCACGCAGGCCUUUGUGUCUCCACUGCUCAACUGCUCCUCAGCCCCAGCUCAUGCUCACCUCCUGCUGCACUCCUCCGGUCUUGUAGUCGGGACUGGAGCCUGUGACGCAGCUCCUGAUCGCUUCCAGGGCAUGGGGUUCCUCCUGCUCAUUCACAUGUUUCUUACUUCACUCUCCGCCUUCCAGAACAGAACAUCAGCCCUGUGAGUUCAGGACUACCACUCUGCCGUGUUCCUUACCUUGACUGUGCCUGCUCCUAAAUAUUUGUUGUGCAGAUUGAUUUGCUAAUUUAAUAGCUAAGAAAAUCACAAUUUGUUUUAAUUUCCAUUUAUUUGAUACUAGAUAAUGAAUAUUUUAAGUGUUUAUUUUCAUCCACG